rnacentral:ncRNA from 2 species
AUACGUUCUCGGGGCGGGGUGGAAGUCCCCACCGGCGGUAUGCAAGCGGGCCCAGGCCCGGUUGCGAGCCCGCGAGCGCCCGCCAGAGGUUCAAGGCCGGUCGGCCGGAACCGAUGGCGGGGUCAGCAGAUCCGGUGCGAUGCCGGAGCCGACGGUUACAGUCCGGAUGGAAGAGAACGGAG